rnacentral:rRNA from 1 species
GGCGGCGUGCCUAACACAUGCAAGUCGAGCGAGAAGCUUAUGAAGAAACCUUCGGGUGACUGAAUAAGUGGAAAGCGGCGGACGGGUGAGUAACGCGUGGGUAACCUGCCCCAUACAAAGGGAUAGCCACUGGAAACGGUGAUUAAUACCAUAUGAGAUCGUAGAGUCGCAUGACUUAGCGGUUAAAGAUUUAUCGGUAUGGGAUGGACCCGCGUCUGAUUAGCUAGUUGGUAAGGUAACGGCUUACCAAGGCGACGAUCAGUAGCCGACCUGAGAGGGUGAUCGGCCACACUGGAACUGAGACACGGUCCAGACUCCUACGGGAGGCAGCAGUGGGGAAUAUUGCACAAUGGGCGCAAGCCUGAUGCAGCAACGCCGCGUGAGCGAUGAAGGCCUUCGGGUCGUAAAGCUCUGUCCUCAAGGAAGAAUAAAUGACGGUACUUGAGGAGGAAGCCCCGGCUAACUACGUGCCAGCAGCCGCGGUAAUACGUAGGGGGCAAGCGUUAUCCGGAAUCACUGGGCGUAAAGGGUGCGUANGCGGUUUUUCAAGUCAGAAGUGAAAGGCUAUGGCU